rnacentral:rRNA from 1 species
AGCGAACGCUGGCGGUAUGCUUAACACAUGCAAGUCGAGCGCGAAAGUGACUUCGGUCAUAAGUAGAGCGGCGGACGGGUGAGUAACACGUGGAUAAUCUGCCUUUAGGACUGGGAUAACCCUGGAAAACUAGGGCUAAUACCGGAUAAGACCACAGGUUCCAUGGAACCAGGGGUAAAAGGCGGCCUUCGGGCUGUCGCCGAAAGAUGAGUCCGCGUCCCAUCAGGUAGUUGGUGAGGAACGGCUCACCAAGCCGAAGACGGGUAGCCGACCUUAGCGGGUGAUCGGCCACACGGGGACUGAGACACGGCCCCGACUCCUACGGGAGGCAGCAGUGGGGAAUCUUGGGCAAUGGGCGCAAGCCUGACCCAGCAAUACCGCGUGAGGGAUGAA